rnacentral:rRNA from 1 species
AUACGGAGGGUGCAAGCGUUACUCGGAAUCACUGGGCGUAAAGCGCGCGCAGGCGGCCAUUUAAGUUGGAUGUGAAAGCCUACGGCUCAACCGUAGAACUGCAUCCAAAACUAUUAGACUAGAGUGUGGGAGAGGAAGAUGGAAUUAGUUGUGUAGGGGUAAAAUCCGUAGAGAUAACUAGGAAUACCAAAAGCGAAGGCAAUCUUCUGGAACACUACUGACGCUGAGGCGCGAAAGCGUGGGGAGCAAACAGGAUUAGAAACCCGAGUAGUCC